rnacentral:rRNA from 1 species
GACGAACGCUGGCGGCGUGCUUAACGCAUGCGAGUCGAACGGAAAGGCCCUGCCUUUGUGGAGUGCUCGAGUGGCGAACGGGUGAGUAACACGUGAGUAACCUGCCCUUGACUUUGGGAUAACUUCAGGAAACUGGGGCUAAUACCGGAUAGGAGCUCCUGCUGCAUGGUGGGGGUUGGAAAGUUUCGGCGGUUGGGGAUGGACUCGCGGCUUAUCAGCUUGUUGGUGGGGUAGUGGCUUACCAAGGCUUUGACGGGUAGCCGGCCUGAGAGGGUGACCGGCCACAUUGGGACUGAGAUACGGCCCAGACUCCUACGGGAGGCAGCAGUGGGGAAUAUUGCACAAUGGGCGGAAGCCUGAUGCAGCAACGCCGCGUGCGGGAUGACGGCCUUCGGGUUGUAAACCGCUUUCGCCUGUGACGAAGCGUGAGUGACGGUAAUGGGUAAAGAAGCACCGGCUAACUACGUG